GAUAUUUUUUUAAAAAGUCAGCGACUACGUAAGAUUAAAAAAAUGUAAAAAUGACUUCGUUUUUUGAAAAAGAAUAAUUUCUUAAAUAAUUCGAGGGUAAUUUUUUUAAAAAUAAAGAAGACAUUUGGAAAUCUAGUACAUGUUUGGUGAUCACUGAUCAGAAAGAACUUUUUGAGAUUUAAUAAUUUAAUUUUUAGAACUAAUCUUGCAUUUGUGCUAGAACUAGUUUUGCUGAUUAAAAAAAAUUAAAGACUUUACAGAAUUUAAGGAAAUUCAACUGAUAACGUUCAUGAAGUUAAAAACAGAUACAUAUUUUUUACCGAUUUGUUUUCAUCAUCAUCAGAUUCCAAUGCUGUUGUUAGAGCAGUCUAUACUAAAACACCAAUAUCCCUAAUAACGUAAUAACAGUUUUGGAGCAGUUCAUUUGAGGUGUUACAAAAAGGGUGGUACUAUAUUUUUAAAGGUAGGUAAUAUGUGUAACAAAGGGGUUAAGUACUACAUAUUUCCAAAGUACGACAAAGAAUGUUCCAUGUCCCCCUGUCAAUAAAAAUUGUUUUUUUUUCAGUGUUUGAAAAUUUUUCAUAUUUUCGAAAUUAACCAGUAGGUAGGUAAAUGUUUUUUUUUGUAGAAAUGUCAUAGGCAGGGGCGGCAAUAAACUUAAAUACUUAAAUUAUGCUAUACCAAGUAGUAAUAAAUCAAUAUUUUUGUGAAAUAUAGUCCAAAUUAAUUUUAUCUUGGUAAUUUUUUUUUCAUUUAAGUCAUUCAUUAAUAAUUAUUCUCAUUGAAUAACUAUAUUUAACAUCGACAGCAAUAAAAUUAUAGAUGUCGGGGUCGUUUGAUACUUUCAAACAGACAUAAAUUUAACAAAUCAAAAAUGAAACUUAACUACUUUUUGUAGUUUUUGUAAUGACCCCUUCAAAUACAUACAUAGGUAAUGGUUGAUAUAAAUUAAGCAAGUAUUAAGUCUUUUUAUAGACACGGCUACAUCUCUACAUACGUAAAGUGAAUUUAUGAAUUUUUUAUCAUUUCUGUACUUACAAUAAAGGACUGCUUCGUGGUCUGAACCGUGUAAUGAAUUUCUUUAUUGUAUAUUUAAAAAUUCUAAUUUUUCUAACAGAUUUAGGCUAUUUUUAAUUCAUAAAUUAUAUCUGCAGAUUUACGUAAAUAUACCUAAUUUAAAUUUAAACAGAAAAAUAGAAAAUGUUUUUCAACGUUAAUUAAUUAAAUAUUAAAAGUAGAUGCUCAGGAAGUUAUCUUGAUGAAAAAUUGCUUUCGAAAGUGUUUGUUCUGUAUUUAAUACCUACUUUGACUUCAUUAUGAAGCAUUGACGAUUUUAUCGCAAAAUUAUUCGCUAAAUGUUUUUUUCAAGGACUUAUGUAAUGGUUACGAGAAGCGUACAAAUAUCUACUACAAGUAAAGAAAAAACAUGAGCUAAAAAAUGUAUACUUUAUAUUUGCCUUGUACCUAAGUAAACAAAUUAAGUAAGAUUUAAAAAGUGUACAAAGGAAAAAAAAGACUGCAAAUAGAAGAUAAUUUUAAUUAAAUGAAUAUUAUGAGUACAAAUAUUUUAAUAGAAACAGGUGCCCAGAAGGCGACGAAUUUAUUUUAGAUCUUCAACAAAUAAUGGAAUCACAGUAAAUGUUAUACCACCUACAAUACAAUCUUAAAAUGUAUAAACACCUCUUUAUUUAAAAAAUAAUUUUUGACAAUUUUAAUAGCAAUAACUUUGAAAUAAUGGAACAAUCACAGUAAGGUUUCAUUUCAAAUAUUUUUUAGUUAUGAAGUGGCCCUAAUAUGACGAAUAUUUUUAACUAAAACUCAUGUUGAGCACCAUUUUCUUGUUGGAAUUUUGAAGCAAAAAAAUCCAUUUCUUUUUCAAACCCACUGUGUAUAUUCCAAACCCAUCAAGAUCGAGGUCACGUGCUUGUGUUUGUGCUGUUGUGUUAAUAAAUACAGCUACUGAUUAAACUGUUCACUGUUGUUUACAAUCAUCGCUCGCGUUUGUUGUUCAAAUUGUGAGAAAACAAUUAUUGGAGAGAAAACACACGAAAUGUAUCGCAAUUUAUUAAUCCCAGCUCUAAUUUUCACCAUUUACGUCAACACUGUCAACUGUAUCGUGUGCACCCCCGGAAUAUGUGCCUCAGUCCAGUGCAAGGAAGUUCAAGGCUGCAAGGGCCAAAACCAGGAAGUCCAACCGGGGGGAUUUUGCAGUUGCUGCAACGUCUGCUACACAAUUCUCGGUGAGAACGAGGCUUGCAACGACAUUGUCCUCCAGGGGGUUCCCCCAGCCACGACGCGGUGCGCCAAUGGCCUGGUGUGCUACGAGGGAAAAUGCACAAGCUUUAAGAAUUUACAAGGCAAAUAGAUUAAAAAUAAAUAUAUAACACCGAAAAUUUAUAUAUUUUUAAUAAAAAAAAUCUGUAAAAGAAAAGAAA